rnacentral:rRNA from 1 species
AGGGAAUUAAAGGUCGAACAGACCUAGAAAAUUAAGCUUCUUCACCUAAUUCUUACCCUAAUUCAACAUCGAGGUCGCAAUCUUUAUUGUCAAUAUGAACUCUCAAAAAAAAUUACG